GUGGGGAAAUUUUAAGGACAUCUACCAACACCUGGUGAACCAGCACCUGGCUUGGAGCUGGCAUUCGGUUUGCCCAAAAUUGUGAACAGGGAUUGCAAUUAUCCCAGCUAUUUGCACGCGUUUCUGUGGUCUGAGUUAACCCCGUCACUCAGGAAUUUUAUAUACAUUUAUGUUAGAGAAAACACUCACACCUGUAAUCUAAAAAGCCAAGAGAGAUAAUACUCUCUAAAGCAUAUGGCAAGGAGGAAAAAAAAACAGCCCUGGAAAUAUGAUGUUUUAAUGCAAUGGCUUCUUCUCACCCAGAAACGCGUGUUGAGUUCUGGCCGAGAGAAAGAUGCAGGAGAAAUGAAAAAAUGAUAGUAAUACUUUCCUGAAUAAAAUAUAAUUGCUCUGUGAGAUUCCCUGCAACAGGUUAUUACUGAUUUCAAAGUACUUGGCGGAAUUCAUAGAAAACCAGAUGAGAAGAUACCUUCUUGGCCUCGCAGUCAGUCCGCUGUCCUCGCCAGCGCCUUCGGCACAAAGGCUUUUGUGGGUUUUUGCCUCCCCGGUGUCAAGAGUGGCUGCUUCAGGGCUCCAGCCCAGGUCAGGUCUCGUGGCUGUUGCUUCGUGGGGAGAAAGCACAAGGUGUCCCCGGCCCGCGGCGUCCCCAGGCUGGGAGGAGGCAGGAGCCAGCCCCGAGGGCGAGAGGGAAAGCGUGCAAGGUCUCCAGGUAACGUCAGACUCUGGAUCUUCUCAUGGUCAAUCACAGUCCUUAACCUUUCUCGUCUCUGCCGCGAGCGCCCUUGGGACUGUUUGCAUUUUGAUUUCAAGGCUUUCUCUUUGAAUGCAAACAGGCAAAGGGGGAGAUGAUUGUGCAGACGUGUAACUCCUCCUGAAUUACCCUCUCUCCUGGUGCCAGACAGACAAAGGCAGCUUAGAAAAUGGCACCGUCCUGGGAUCUGGUGGCGUUAAAGGUUUUGGUGUGAAAAUCUCCCCGCUCCACUGAAGUAAUAAGUGAGAUUGUGCUGCUUUACACCAGGUGACAAUCUGGGUUAAAAUACGCAGGAGAGUUUGGUCACAUACAGGCAAUCUUCUAGAUGUCUGGGUGUUGGUUUGGGGUUUUUUCCCCUAAAGAGUCCUUACUAACCCCCACACGCUCUCAGCAUCAGAGCUGGCUGCCUGGAGGUGGCUGGGGCAUGGAAUCAGAGAAUGGUUUGGGUUGGAAAGGACCUUAAAAAUCAUCUUGUUCCAGCUCCGCUGCAUGCAGCCCUCCAGCUCCCAGUCUGCUACUGGAGCCACUGGUGGCAUCGCAAAUAUUGCAGUGUACAAUUAACACUAACGAGGCAGAGGGGAGGCAGCUGGGACCGAGCUGGGGCCCUGCCCCGGACCCGUGGCCGAAGGACAUGGCCCCGCUCUCGUCUCCCCCUUCUGCUGCGAAGACUCUGGCGGUGCUGUAUUUAUCUCAAUGUCAUUUUCCUGGAGAUGUGAGCUGGAACAAAUCCGGAGCAGCUGCUCCAUCUCUAAGUGUCCUUCAGGGAUCCCUUCAGCAGACACUUUGCAGGAUAUAAUGAUGACAUUCUAACGAGCGCUAAUGCGCAUGUUGUCAUCUUUCUGUAUUUACACCUCCCACAGGAGGCAUUGUUCGGAGAAGGAAAAGCCAGAGAUGGAAACUUUGGAGCAGAAACUUUGGCUGGGCCGGGGACCCCACCUAAUUAAGAAAAGCUGUAAGGCAGGGCCGGUCCCGGGCUGCGAGGAGAGGGGUUGGCAGCGCACGGAGAGGUGGCCGGGAGAGGACAGCCCACCAAGUCAAGUCCCUGCAGUCAGAUUACACCAGGCUGGAAGGAAAAAGGGGGAAAAAAGGCUUAUUUUGGAGUGCAGAGUGACAGCAGAGCCUGCAUCGCUCCAGAUCCCCCAAGCUUCAGUCCAGUGAUUUAACUGCAGACAUUGUGUAUUCUGGCAUAUGCCUUCUCUCCGCUUCACCCCAACGAUGGGGCGUGGAGCAAAUUCCCAGCCUUUCUGGUGGAUGCUCAUUAGCCACGUCAUUAAACAAACCCUGUAACGGCCUCCAUCACAGAAAAGAGGAUCCUUGAAUGACAAACACAAUCCAAUCCUCCAAUCCACCAUUUAAAAACCGCAAUGAGCUCUUUCCCCGGCAGGAACGUUAUGUACAUAUGUAUGGGUACCUGUGUCUAGAUAUAAAUAAAUAAAAGAGAACCUUCCA
rnacentral:lncRNA from 1 species